AUUGAACGCUGGCGGCAGGCUUAACACAUGCAAGUCGAGCGGGGUGAUGGUGCUUGCACUAUCACUUAGCGGCGGACGGGUGAGUAAUGCUUAGGAAUCUGCCUAUUAGUGGGGGACAACAUCUCGAAAGGGAUGCUAAUACCGCAUACGUCCUACGGGAGAAAGCAGGGGAUCACUUGUGACCUUGCGCUAAUAGAUGAGCCUAGUCGGAUUAGCUAGUUGGUGGGGUAAAGGCCUACCAAGGCGACGAUCUGUAGCGGGUCUGAGAGGAUGAUCCGCCACACUGGGACUGAGACACGGCCCAGACUCCUACGGGAGGUAGCAGUGGGGAAUAUUGGACAAUGGGGGGAACCCUGAUCCAGCCAUGCCGCGUGUGUGAAGAAGGCCUUAUGGUUGUAAAGCACCUUAAGCGAGGAGGAGGCUCUUUUGGUUAAUACCCAAGAUGAGUGGACGUUACUCGCAGAAUAAGCACCGGCCAACUCUGUGCCAGCCGCCGCGGUAA
rnacentral:rRNA from 1 species